UACGAAGGGGGCUAGCGUUGCUCGGAAUCACUGGGCGUAAAGGGUGCGUAGGCGGGUCUUUAAGUCAGGGGUGAAAUCCUGGAGCUCAACUCCAGAACUGCCUUUGAUACUGAAGAUCUUGAGUUCGGGAGAGGUGAGUGGAACUGCGAGUGUAGAGGUGAAAUUCGUAGAUAUUCGCAAGAACACCAGUGGCGAAGGCGGCCAUCUGGACCAGCACUGACACUGAGGCACGAAAGCGUGGGGAGCAAACAGG
rnacentral:rRNA from 1 species